rnacentral:rRNA from 1 species
AUGACUUGUAUGUUUUGCUCUGAGCCAGAAUCUUGCCAGCAUUUAUUUUUUGAAUGUGUAGUGUCGAUUGAACUCUGGAAAGGUAUUGGAGACAUAUCAGGAGCUGGCAAGGUCUCUGAUAUUGAGAACCUUGCGGCCUGGUGGGUUUCCAAUAAGAAACAUGCAGUUGUGAAUGCUUUGCAUGCCGCUGCAGUGUGGUCUCUCUGGAAGGUCAGGAAUAACCUGUGUUUCAAUCGCUCUGUGUGGUCUGGAAUGCAGGAAUUAUGGAGACAGGUGGCCGUGCAGCUUGCAGCAUGGGAGGUGCUGUUCCCAAACGAUGCAAAAAUCCAGGUUACUGCGAUGGUAAAAAACCUCGAGAAGCUUGCCAGAGAUCCUCCUAUGCUGAUGUGGCCAGACCCCGGUUGA